GCAAGAGUAGCUCAGUGGGAAGAGUAGUCGUCUUGCAAUUGGAAAGUUGUGGAUUCGAUUCCAGCUUCCUCUUGCU